UACGUAGGGACCAAGCGUUGUUCGGAUUUACUGGGCGUAAAGGGCGCGUAGGCGGCGCGGUAAGUCACUUGUGAAAUCUCUGAGCUUAACUCAGAACGGCCAAGUGAUACUGCAGUGCUAGAGUGUGGAAGGGGCAAUCGGAAUUCUUGGUGUAGCGGUGAAAUGCGUAGAUAUCGAGAGGAACACCUGCGGCGAAGGCGGGUAGCUGGGCCGACACUGACGCUGACGGCGCGAAAGCUAGGGGAGCGAACGGG
rnacentral:rRNA from 1 species